rnacentral:rRNA from 1 species
CUGUAAGCCUGUGAAGGUGGCCUGUGAGGGUUGCUGGAGGUAUCAGAAGUGCGAAUGCUGACAUAAGUAACGAUAAAGCGGGUGAAAAGCCCGCUCGCCGGAAGACCAAGGGUUCCUGUCCAACGUUAAUCGGGGCAGGGUGAGUCGACCCCUAAGGCGAGGCCGAAAGGCGUAGUCGAUGGGAAACAGGUUAAUAUUCCUGUACUUGGUGUUACUGCGAAGGGGGGACGGAGAAGGCUAUGUUGGCCGGGCGACGGUUGUCCCGGUUUAAGCGUGUAGGCUGGUUUUCCAGGCAAAUCCGGAAAACCAAGGCUGAGGCGUGAUGACGAGGCACUACGGUGCUGAAGCGACAAAUGCCCUGCUUCCAGGAAAAGCCUCUAAGCAUCAGGUAACAUCAAAUCGUACCCCAAACCGACACAGGUGGUCAGGUAGAGAAUACCAAGGCGCUUGAGAGAACUCGGGUGAAGGAACUAGGCAAAAUGGUGCCGUAACUUCGGGAGAAGGCACGCUGAUAUGUAGGUGAAGCGACUUGCUCGUGGAGCUGAAAUCAGUCGAAGAUACCAGCUGGCUGCAACUGUUUAUUAAAAACACAGCACUGUGCAAACACGAAAGUGGACGUAUACGGUGUGACGCCUGCCCGGUGCCGGAAGGUUAAUUGAUGGGGUUAGCGGUAACGCGAAGCUCUUGAUCGAAGCCCCGGUAAACGGCGGCCGUAACUAUAACGGUCCUAAGGUAGCGAAAUUCCUUGUCGGGUAAGUUCCGACCUGCACGAAUGGCGUAAUGAUGGCCAGGCUGUCUCCACCCGAGACUCAGUGAAAUUGAACUCGCUGUGAAGAUGCAGUGUACCCGCGGCAAGACGGAAAGACCCCGUGAACCUUUACUAUAGCUUGACACUGAACAUUGAGCCUUGAUGUGUAGGAUAGGUGGGAGGCUUUGAAGUGUGGACGCCAGUCUGCAUGGAGCCGACCUUGAAAUACCACCCUUUAAUGUUUGAUGUUCUAACGUUGGCCCGUAAUCCGGGUUGCGGACAGUGUCUGGUGGGUAGUUUGACUGGGGCGGUCUCCUCCUAAAGAGUAACGGAGGAGCACGAAGGUUGGCUAAUCCUGGUCGGACAUCAGGAGGUUAGUGCAAUGGCAUAAGCCAGCUUGACUGCGAGCGUGACGGCGCGAGCAGGUGCGAAAGCAGGUCAUAGUGAUCCGGUGGUUCUGAAUGGAAGGGCCAUCGCUCAACGGAUAAAAGGUACUCCGGGGAUAACAGGCUGAUACCGCCCAAGAGUUCAUAUCGACGGCGGUGUUUGGCACCUCGAUGUCGGCUCAUCACAUCCUGGGGCUGAAGUAGGUCCCAAGGGUAUGGCUGUUCGCCAUUUAAAGUGGUACGCGAGCUGGGUUUAGAACGUCGUGAGACAGUUCGGUCCCUAUCUGCCGUGGGCGCUGGAGAACUGAGGGGGGCUGCUCCUAGUACGAGAGGACCGGAGUGGACGCAUCACUGGUGUUCGGGUUGUCAUGCCAAUGGCACUGCCCGGUAGCUAAAUGCGGAAGAGAUAAGUGCUGAAAGCAUCUAAGCACGAAACUUGCC